AAUAUUGGACAAUGGGCGAAAGCCUGAUCCAGCCAUGCCGCGUGUGUGAAGAAGGUCUUCGGAUUGUAAAGCACUUUAAGUUGGGAGGAAGGGUUGUAGGUUAAUACCCUGCAAUUUUGACGUUACCAACAGAAUAAGCACCGGCUAACUUCGUGCCAGCAGCCGCGGUAAUACGAAGGGUGCAAGCGUUAAUCGGAAUUACUGGGCGUAAAGCCGGCGUAGGUGGUUCGUUAAAUUGGAAAGGGAAGCCCCCGGCUUAACCUGGGAAUUGCUUUCAAAACUGACGGGCUAAAGUACGGUAGAGGGUAGUGGAAUUUCCUUUUUAGCGGUGAAAUGCGUAAAUAUAGGAAGGAACAUCAGGGGCGAAGGCGACUACCUUGACCGAUACUUACACUGAGGUGCGAAAGCGUGGGGAGCAAACAGG
rnacentral:rRNA from 1 species